ACGUCCAGUGUCUAUACUCAGGACAUCUUCCAGAAGCUCCAACACAAAGUGCUUUUGGACUUUGGGACCAUGAAACCAGAGGGACCAAAUGCAGUCCCUCAGAGCAGAGUGGAUAUUCCUCCUUCAUUGCUCAUACUCCUGUUUGUCUGCCUUCUCAACAAGUGCACACAUAUGCUGGGGGGUUGAAGGAGCCAGG